GGGGACGGCCCCCGCCUCGGCUCGCCGUUCGACGGCUCCGGCCGCCGGUGCCGCCGCAGUCACUCGGUUCCCCGCCGUUCUGAGGCGGCAGGAAGCCCGGGGCUGGUUGAGGAGCCGCAGCGGAAUGCCGCUGCCGGCCGUGCCACAGGCGACCGUCCCUCUUGGCCGUCGGUCUGGGGCUGUCCCCACGUCCGUGGGGUGCUGGAAAGCGCAGAGACUUGCUGAGGCUUCCUCUGGCUCGUCUCAAGAAAAUCAUUGAGCUGUCAAAGAAAUGGGUAUUGCCUGACAUAGCAAGAUCUUUGUUUUAAAUCUCAAAGUUGUGUCAACUAGCUAAUGUUUUUAAGAGACCUUAUUGCCAGCAGAGAUGGAAAAGGACAAAGUGCUUCCAAAGCUUCCACAGGCAUACUUGUAACAGCUAUACAUCAUCAAAGAAACCUCUCAUUCCAGGAUGGGUCUGAGUUUGUGCUUGGAAUCACACAUCUACCAGGUUGAUGUCUCAGUUGAAACUAACUUUUCAGUCUUUGGAUUCACCUCCACUGGUGAAGGCUGGCCUUAGGCUCGAAUUCCUCCCAUGCAGGUGGGCAGUUUCAACAUCUUCCUAUUGCAGUGAGAAAUAUGCUGAGCCUCUUCAGUGUGACAAUUCACUGCGUCUUGGAAUAAAAGAGAAAAAAUUGUCACCGUUCAAUACUGUCUUCACAUCCUGGAACCUCGUUCUUGCAAAAUCUGAAACAGACCAGUAAAAAUUCUAUGAAUGAAAAUUCGUUCAACGUCAUUCCUAAAGCAUGGUCAAAGGAGGUCAAAGAGCAAUAUAAUGACUAUUUCAAAUAACUGAUAAAGUGUCAGGGAGCUGGCUCAUGGACAUUCCUGCAGUCUGUGCUUUAAGGCUGAAAAAAGACAGAUUGAUACAUACAAUGUCUACCAUCAAACAUAAUGAAAACAGAUGUAAAUCACUGCUAGUAAUUGAGUAUGAUUAAUAUAACCAAAGAUAAGGGUUGGUAGAUAUAAAAAGUAAGCCAUUUCACCUCAUCCUAAUUCUGAAGAUACUUAGGUCCUGUGUGGUAAAUGAACUUGGGUGCUUAUUAGAGAUUGAAUUUAAGCUUCAUUUUUCCUGUUCCAGUAAAACAUCCUUAAGUCUCUGAAGUUUCAGCUGCAAAUUGUGUCCCACAAAUUAGUAAUGAAAACAUGAACUAGCAACUCAAAAUGUGCACAAAUGACACACUGGGUGAGAUGACGCAGGAAGUUUUCAAAGGCCAAGAGUACAAGCUGGCAAGAUUUAAAUCAACAGACUGAUUUAAAAUCUGAAAUAGAUGCCCAGGCUUGGUCUUUUGCAUGAACUAAAGUCAACCAACUUCAUUUCUUCACAGAUUUUUACUAUGCUGUUCAGACACACAAAGCUUAUCAGUUGGACUGACCGGCUAUAUGAACUCUGACAGCAGUUUAAAAAUAUUUUUACAUUAAUAUUAUUUGCUCAUGCAAGAUCUCGCAAGUUUUUUAGGCAUCCUUGUCCACAUGAAAAUUGUUUCUGUGGACACAGGACAUAGCACAUUGAACUUUUCAUGCGUUACCUUGUCCAUCAUUAUCCUCUGAAACGCUCAAGGCAGGCAGCUGACAGGCAAUGCAGGCUCUGACUUCAUGAGGAGGAAUAUAUUUCUAAAAAAUUCUGUCUAAGGAAUUUGAUUAUCCCACUGUUACCAAGGAACUGAGAUUCCCAUGACAGUGAGUAAAAGGAUUUUUUUUUUCCCUAAAAGCAGUUGGUUUGUUUAAUAUUCACUUUAAAAGGUAUAUAUUAAACAUAGGGACUGAAGUCUAAUGGAAACAAAAUAUCUACCCCUGAAAAACCUAGCAAUCCUUGUCUAUAGUAUCUUACAACUUGAAGACCACCUAUUCUACUUCCAAUUUGACUAUUUUUUCCCUUUUCUAUUUCAAUUCUCUUUGGCUCCUCCAGUGAGGAAAGGAUCCAAGUCUUAGGAUUGACUGUCCAAGCAACAACAUUUCUCAUGUUGCUACUCUAAACUGAAUGGCAAUCAGCAAUAAUGAGGUCAACUCUCCGGCUGCAUAAUACUGCAGGGAAGCCUUUAAGCAAACUGUAGAACCAGUCAUGACAGUAGCCAAACAAAGCACUAAGCAAAGCUUCAAAGGUACUGAGCACAAGUACUUAACAAUGUUAAUCUGUAAGUAAAAGUAUCUCUAAUGAUACUUCAUUUUCUUUUGCUUCUUGACAGUUUUCCUAGUGCUGGGAAGGGCUCUUGAUUUCAAAAGCUGAAAGAAAGCAAAGGCACCAUCCCUGGACAAUGGCAUAGCUGUCUUCAAUGUAGAAUUUCCUUCAGUGUAGUCUGAUAUUAAGACAAACACCUGAUGCUAGUACUCAGUAGCACAUUCCAUCCCAGAUAACCCACAGAAUCUGACAGCACACACAAACACUUCAAUCUUUGUGCAUGUAGGGUAAAUGUUGGCAGCCACUUAACACAGCACAGCAGUUUCAUGUAUGGUCUUAAAUAAAAAAAGUCCAGCUAUUUGGUUUAUUUUUAAUAUUGUUAAAACAUUGAUAGUUUAACCUAUCAGCCUCUCUCAGUUGUCAAGCCUAAUAUGUCUUUCAUAGUGACUAUAGUCAAGUAGGGUUUCACCUGCUUUGCACAACUCCAUGGGAUUUUUUAAGGACUGGAGUUCAUAAAGAACCCAUCACCAUUUGUGUGCCUCAGGGUCAGUUCAGAGACAGUUCAGUGUUAGCUUAAUUAAAAAAAAAAAAAAAAAAUCCACUUUGUCACUUGCUUACUGCACUUACUGCAGUACCUGGAACUCGCUUUGUGCAUACAGAGUUCUUUUUCAUUUCAAAUUCAGUAUUAUUAUUUUGAAGUUAUCAAGCCAGAUGUCACUGCAGCUACUUUGAUAAAUUUCCAAAAUACAGAAAGAUGUUUCCCAUGGGCCAUGACAUACAUGCUUUAGGGUAUAGUUUAGAUGCAAACAUUGCUUAGUUCAUGAAAAUAAUUUACUAUGUGUACUAAGCAAAAAGCAUGUCAUAUGAAACUGUAAGAAAGAUACAAGUGAAUUCUGUGAAGAAAAGCCAGGCCCCAAAAAUUGCUCAGCAACUGCUAGUGUAAUAUAUUCAAAAGAGAUUAGAUAAACUUACAGAAGAUAGUGCCAUUGAUACCCGCUCAAGGUACCACAGUGUCAUUGUAGCUUUCAUACAAUGAUCUGGAUGCAGGCUUGAAGCCAAAAUUCCUAAGCUGAGGCUUACUGGAAGGUGGGGAAAUAUAUCAGGAGUUAAUUUUAUAAAUGCGUCAUACUUAAACUCUUUCCUUGACUAUCUGCUGUUGGUCACAGCUGUCACAAAGUGCUGGAGUAGAUGGCCACAUAGUGGAUAACAGUCUGACCCAGCAAAUGUAGUCAGUAAGUGAAACAAUCUCUAACAGAAAAAAAAACAUGGCUGAAAUAAGCACCUGUGCAGUUAGAAAAUAAUAUCGGAUCUAUUCAUUUUGUGAAUCUCUCCAAUUUAAAAUGAAACAUUUCAGUUUAUUCUAGAAGAUAAAAAGUAAUUCUAAGAGUAGUAGUCUUAGAACCAUUUUCUGUAGCUUCAGGAACACAUACAAUAAGAUAAGACUAAGUCAGAUCUGGAUGCUUUGCAUACUUCACCGAGCCAGUAAACCUAACGUAAAGCAGAAAAUUCUAUCAGAUCAGGCAAUAUUUUACACAUUUUGCUUGGUACUUCUUCUGUAACCCCUACCUUUACUAAAGGGGAAAUUAUUUCUGAUCAGCAAGCUCUCAUGAGAGGUGUUCCAUCCACCUCUGUUCAGAAACUGUGUGAAAGAGGAUCUUUUGUAGUCAUGGGCAGUGACUUCGUCCAAAGAAGAAAUUGAAUUUGACUUAUCAGGAAUUCUAUCAAAAUUGUACUUACUAAAUACUGAAAGGAUCACUGACUCUGUUCCACAAUUCGAAAUUCUUCCUUUUCUUUUUUUCUCCUGAAAAACUCUUUAAUAAGCCUAGUCCUAAAAAUUUUAGUGGCUUACUGGGCAAAAAUGCCGAGAGAAGAUGUCUCAACACUAACAGAGGUCAAUAAAAUUUGAAAACAAUUAUGGCAGGUCUUCUCCAAAACUGCUAAUAGCUAGGAUUAGGGAGUAUGUCUGGAGCAGAACCAGGCAUGGAAGAAGUUUUCAUUUGAGAACAUGCUCUACUACCUUAACAGGUGACUUCACUGAUAAUGCUCCUCUGUCCAGACACUUUAGAUCACAGAAUCACGAAAUGGUUUGGGCUGGAAGGGACCUUUAAAGAUCAUCUAGUCCAACCCCCCUGCCAUGGGCCGGGACAUCUUUCACUAGAUGAGAUGCUUGAAGUGAUGCUCAAAGCCCCACCCAACCUAACCUUGAACACUUCCACGGAUGGGGCAUCCACAACUUCUCUGGGCAACCUGUUCCAGUGCCACACCACUCUCACAGAAAAGAAUUUCAUCAUUAUAGCCAAUCUAAAUCUACCCUCUUUCUGUCUGAAAACAUUGCCCCUUGUCCUGUCACUAUGGGCCCUGACAAAAAGUCUUUCUCGGUCUUUCUUAUAAGCCCCUUUUAAGUAUUGGAAAGCUGCAAUGACAUCUUCCUGGAGCCUUCUCUCCUCCAGGCCGAACAACCCCAAGUCUCUCAGCCUCUCUUCAUAGCAGAGGUGUUCCAGCCCUCAGACCAUUUUUGUCUCCCUCCUCCGGACCCACUCUAACAGGUCCACGUCUUUCUUGUACUGGGAACCCCAGAGCUGAUGCAGCACUCCAGGUAGGGUCUCACGAGAGCGGAGUAGAGGGGGAGAAUCACUUCCUCGACCUGCUGGCCACGCUUCUUUUGACGCAGCCCCGGAUAAUUGGCUUUCUGGGCUGCAAGUGUACGUUGCUGGCUCACAUCCAAUUUUUCACCCACCAGUAUCCCCAAGUCCAUCUCUGCAGUGUUGCUCUCAAUCCAUUCAUCACCCAGUCUGUACUGAUACUGGGGACUGUCCUGACCUUGAUGCAGAUCUGCUGUGUUCUGUUCUGUUUUUCCUCCAGGUGCACCAGAUCCAAAGUUGACUUAUAAACUCUAAACAAUGCUGAAUGAACUCUCAUAUCCUAGGGGCUUCAGUAUGAUUGCAUCUUAGGGAAGCAGAACAUGAGAAUUGUUUCCUCCCACUCAAAAUAAAUCUGCUGCAGACAGAA